AGGAUAGUAGUGUCUGGGGGCAGUAAAGAAUGGGAAACUCCAACCUGUUUUACCGUCACGAUGCCUCUCUGAAAUCGUGUUUUCUUUUUGAAGUGAAACAGAUGAGCAGAAUAUAUUCACUUUGGUUUUGAGAACUCUGAGCAUGCAGAUGGCACAAGAAGCUGCAGGCACCUGCCAGAUGAAACACUGGGUGGAACUGAGACAGCCCCUGAGCUGUUCAGCACUGCAGAGAUAUUACUGCCUGCUUUGUUGAGUGUGCUCCAGCUACCUAAGUAACAAAGAAAGUCAUUAAAAGGAAGGAGGUUUAAGUACAGUCAGUCCACUAAUUUAAGUUUCAGAACAUACAGAUCCUAUUCCAUCAAAACUUGGCAUGGUGAAAAGUUGAAGGCACAGCUGCUACGCUGCAAGUGAAUCCCAGGAACAAUCCUGCUAUUUACGGAGUAUCUACACUAAAGAGUGACAAAAUUCAUUUGGCACAUCAAGAAAGACAAAGAAAUAAACAGUGAUACAGAAGAAUAUGAGGACAGCUUUUGAACCUCUGAUCAGAGUAACAUCUAAUGCCUCCCUUGCCCAGUGAAGACCAGGACUACAAACCUACAAAUCUCAUAAACAGCUACAGCAAAUGUGGAGAGAGACGGAUAUGUGUCCUGCUCCUGAAAUGAAACACACAUAAGCAAACCCUGCCUGCAUUAAGGUGAUCUUUUUGUACUCCCUACACUGACAAGUGCUUCGUGUAUUUUAAAAAGAGCAAAGGAAAUUGCAGAACUCUUCCCCAAAAACCUCUUCCACACUUGUCCCAAAUUUUCUGGCUCCUUGUCAUGACUGCUACAUGAUAUCAGCACCCUGGGGCCCUUUUCUGUCAAGAAGAGUCUUUAUUUCAUUUACCUAAAUAAAGAAGCAUGAACAAAUGCACAGACACAUGUCACAGCAUCUGCCAGCCAUGACCUUGUGCAACCUUCUUAAUAUUUUUCUUGUAUCUUUCCGGUUGCAUUAUUUUUCAUUUCAUCCUUCUUGAUAGAAAACAUCUAUAGUAUGAACUAAACCCAUUAUACAUAAUAAAAUGCUGUUCAAACAUUUUACACUUAUGUAUUUUCCUUCCAUUUAAACAGUAUUCAACUCCCAUGUUGGAACUAAGUGCUCUUCAAUACCCCAUUACUGGGCUUUCCUACUCUGCAUGGACAGGUCCUAAGAGCAGGGUGAUUUUGUCUCAGUUAAAAAUGAGCCAUACUAAGGCAGUUAUAUUUUCAAACCAUACCACUUUCUCCUCUGUAAUUCCUUGGUUUCUAGUUCUAACAUGCUCUAAUAUUGACUGACACUAACUUUAGACUAAUUAGAAAUAUUUUCUGUGAAUUCCCCAACCAAUGUAUGCAGGUUUUCCUAAUACCAGAAGAGAGCUGAGUAUGAACAGCUACUGCCAGUCCAAGUGCAAAGCUGCAAUGGAAAUCUUCUGUGUGUCCAUGGGAAAAAAAACAAAGUUCCUGAUGACAUCUUGCACUGUUUUCCAGUUACCACUGCUGCUCUGGAAGGCUCUAAGUUUCCAGAGGAGAUAGCUGGAUCAGGAGUUGGACUCCCUGAGGAGCUAGUAAUAAAGCUCUAAUCCCUUUUGCAUCUAAAUUGCUUCUGCUGACUUAGCUGAAGUUUUUUAUUGUCCCCACAGUAGAGUUAACAGGCCUAUCUCCAGCCCACCAUCCUCACAUGCUCACUUGCCUCCAUUUCUGCAGUGUCACUGCGACAGGUGAGUCAGUGAAACAUUGCCACCUUAGGGCUCCUUUCCCUGACAAUUGCUCUGGCUGCCAAAACAGCAGGUACCUCCAUCCUGCUGUUACAUCCUGCUGCUGUGGAGCAUCUUCUGGAAACAUCUUCUGUUUCCAUAAGAUGAGCUGUCCUUUGGGCUUGGGCUGCUCAGCUGCUCCCUAUGGGGUGGGCAAUCUCCCUCUGUGAGGUUUGCUGAGCACUUGCACAGCGCAGGUUACCUGAAUGGCAGACUGACUGCAUAAAGCACAGGCAGGUUUCUAAAAGCAGAAUCUCGAUGUUAACGUUCAGGAUUGGCAAAAAACACCCCAAACUUGCAGUGGAUAGAAUUCCACAGCACAGAAUAACCUCCCACUCAUACCAAUUUCCUUGUUCCUUUCUGAUAAACAAACACAUCUCAAUAUAACAGCUUAACAAACACAUACACAGGCAGACAGCACAACCCCUCGAGAGUGGAUUAUUUCCCCAAAGAGUUACUUUGUGAAGGACGUCACUGAUCAUAUUUCAAGGUGUAACUGCUGUGCCAGCUUCUUGAGGCUGGAUAACACUUGAAAACCUGAUCUCAGGUAAGCAAAGGGGUGAAUUGGCCCUGUUCAGAGUGGUACCAUGAUCCUGCUGAUGCUCAAGGCCAGGGGAGUGGCAGGAGGGCUGGAAUCCAUGGUUCCUCUGUCUCACCACAGCUGAAAAAAUAAAUGCUUUCAUCAUGCAGUUACUGCUCAGAAGAUGGAUCUGAUUUCUGAGCAGUAGAAAUUGUGCCUUAUCAGGAGAGUAUGACCCACCCAAUGCUAACACACAGCAAGAAAAAGUCUGAGUUUUGAAAAAGCACAAGAAAGCUUAGAGGGUUUAGGUAGCUGAGCAGAAAUGAAGUCUUGGCUGUUUUUGAGAAAAAUCUCAAAAAAAAAAAACUCAUCUCAGAAAGAGAAACAAGCCAUAUACUCCCUCUCUAAAAUAAUUCCUGCAUUUGUGAGAGUCUCAGAAGAAUGUAAUAAACAUCAGCUGGGGUUGCGAAAUGAGAUGCACUGCUGCACUACAGAGCAACAGGCACGGAAAACAGAGUGAACUGAAAAGGAUCUAGAUGAAGCAGGGAACACAAUCAUUAAAAACUGCUAUGAAAAUUGAUGCGAAUCCAUAUUAACUUGCUACUUUCUUUUCCUUGUUAUCUCUUACGUUCUCUGUGCU